rnacentral:rRNA from 1 species
CUUGGUCAUUUAGAGGAAGUAAAAGUCGUAACAAGGUUUCCGUAGGUGAACCUGCGGAAGGAUCAUUAAUGAAUUUUAAGAUCGAAGUUGUAGCUGGCCUUUCGGGGCAUGUGCACGCUUCUUUCGAAUAAAUCCAGCACACAUUUGUGCACCUCAGCGUGGGUCGAGAAAGCGUUUCGGCGUCAGUAUCGGCUUGCGUCCUUUUUAUCCAAAACUUAAUGUAUGUCCUAGAAUGUCUUUGAUGUAUUAAAUACACAUCUCAAUACAACUUUCAACAACGGAUCUCUUGGCUCUCGCAUCGAUGAAGAACGCAGCGAAAUGCGAUAAGUAAUGUGAAUUGCAGAAUUCAGUGAAUCAUCGAAUCUUUGAACGCACCUUGCMCCYUCUGGUAUUCCGGAGGGUACACCUGUUUGAGUGUCGUGAAAUUCUCAACCCUUGCUCCUUUGUUGGAGUCCAAGGGAUUGGACUUGGAGGUCUUKGGCGGUGUCUAUUAGAGAUCGCCUCCUCUUAAAUGCAUUAGUGCGACUCGUUGUUCCGUAACCUUCGGUGUGAUAAUWAUCUACGUCGUCGGAUUCGUUACUGUUAAGAGACGUGCUUUCUAACCGUCCAUUAUUGGACAAUCUUAUGAAACUUGACCUCAAAUCAGGUGGGACUACCCGCUGAACUUAAGCAUAUCAAUAAGCGGAGGAAAAGAAACUAACAAGGAUUCCCCUAGUAACUGCGAGUGAAGCGGGAAAAGCUCAAAUUUAAAAUCUGGUGGUUUCGGCCAUCCGAGUUGUAAUCUGGAGAAGUGUUUUCCGCGUUGGACCGUGCACAAGUUUCCUGGAACGGAGCGUCAUAGAGGGUGAGAAUCCCGUCUUUGGCACGGAUCCCAAUGCUUUGUGAUACACUCUCAAAGAGUCGAGUUGUUUGGGAAUGCAGCUCAAAAUGGGUGGUGAAUUCCAUCUAAAGCUAAAUAUAGGCGAGAGACCGAUAGCGAACAAGUACCGUGAGGGAAAGAUGAAAAGCACUUUGGAAAGAGAGUUAAACAGUACGUGAAAUUGUUGAAAGGGAAACGCUUGAAGU